UAGGACAUCAACUCAAUCUGAUCAUCUGCAAGUCUGAUCUCUGAAAGAUCUACUCUGCUCCCUGACUGUGGUAUAGAAGUAUCCCUCCUCACUGACUCUGAGGGACCAACCUCGUGAUCAGACAUGAACUGAAUAUCAAGAGAUGCUCUGUGAUCACGAGAAGGUGAAGACGGUCCCUCCUCUGCUCUCUCCUCAACUCCCUUCGACCAACCACCAUUAGUCUUUGAAAAAUCCAUGCAGUGCAG
rnacentral:lncRNA from 1 species